rnacentral:rRNA from 1 species
GCAGCAGUGGGGAAUUUUCCGCAAUGGGCGAAAGCCUGACGGAGCAACGCCGCGUGAGGGACGAAGGCCUCUGGGCUGUAAACCUCUUUUCUCAAGGAAGAAGAUAUGACGGUACUUGAGGAAUAAGCCACGGCUAAUUCCGUGCCAGCAGCCGCGGUAAUACGGGAGUGGCAAGCGUUAUCCGGAAUUAUUGGGCGUAAAGCGUCCGCAGGCGGCUUUUCAAGUCUGCUGUUAAAACGUGGAGCUUAACUCCAUCAUGGCAGUGGAAACUGAAAGGCUUGAGUGUGGUAGGGGCAGAGGGAAUUCCCGGUGUAGCGGUGAAAUGCGUAGAUAUCGGGAAGAACACCAGUGGCGAAGGCGCUCUGCUGGGCCAUUACUGACGCUCAUGGACGAAAGCCAGGGGAGCGAAAGGGAUUAGAUACCCCUGUAGUCCUGGCCGUAAACGAUGAACACUAGGUGUCGGGGGAAUCGACCCCUUCGGUGUCGUAGCUAACGCGUUAAGUGUUCCGCCUGGGGAGUACGCACGCAAGUGUGAAACUCAAAGGAAUUGACGGGGGCCCGCACAAGCGGUGGAGUAUGUGGUUUAAUUCGAUGCAACGCGGAGAACCUUACCUGGGCUUGACAUCCAACGCUAUCCAUAGAGAUAUGGAGUUUGAUAGUAAUAUCGACGUUGAGACAGGUGGUGCAUGGUUGUCGUCAGCUCGUGUCGUGAGAUGUUCGGUUAAGUCCGGCAACGAGCGCAACCCUUGCCUCUAGUGUGCCAGCACGUAAUGGUGGGAACUUUAGAGGGACUGUCUGUGUUUACAGGAGGAAGGUGGGGAUGACGUCAAAUCAGCAUGCCCCUUAUGUCCAGGGCUACACACGUACUACAAUGGCUGGUACAACGAGGAGCGAAGCCGCGAGGUCAAGCAAAUCUCUAAAAGCCAGUCUAAGUUCGGAUUGGAGUCUGCAACUCGACUCCAUGAAGCUGGAAU